CCGCGCCGCGCCGCCCAACUACUCUUCGAGACAAUGUUCUAUUCCCGAGCGUCGCCGCCCCUGAAAAAGCGCUUUGUAAAAGCUGGUUUGUACAUCCCGGGUCCCGUAGGCACCUCCAUAUCUACCCCUCACCACUGGAUGUCGCCCUCUUUCGUUUGCGAUAAACAAUUACGAGAAUGGACGAUGAGAGACUGGUCGUCGAGGUGGAAAAAUACGUCGAAUUAUAUGACCAAAGUACCCGUCAUUACAAAGACAACUCCAAAAAGGUCAUUGCCUGCAGUGGCGAGCCAUAGCUCUGGAGAUUGGAUCUUCAGACACAUGACAACCACUUCACAGGGGAGAAAAGCGUGCCAACACCUCUGUCGUGCACCAGUGUUCUGCAGACGUGGACCAAGGACACAGGUUUAUGUGUAUACCUCAGGCCUAGCCAAACAUCCUGUAUAGUCUACUCAAUAAUAGUAUUCGAAGUUCUUGUAUAUAGACAGACGCGACUAACACUGACUUAAGUGUUGCUACACUGACAUUAUGAUUUAUGUGCUGACAUAUUUUUUCUUUUUGCUCCAGGGGAUUCGCCCGGAACCCAUUGACCAACUUGUGGUCAGGAAACCCAAGGUUUGGGUUAGGUGUUUUAUUUGAGCACAUACAUGGACACAUACCUCCUGAAUGCCAAGUAAAUAUGGCCGAGGGAUACACACACCCCAUUCCAUUUAUUUAUUUCUGUUAAAUGUAUAUAUGUAAAUAUUUUAAUCAAAGAAUUGGAAACGAACAUUCCUGAACAUUUGUUUUAAGGUAACACACUCUGAGCACCUUUAAAACAAGCCUGAAGACUUUUAUGUUUGCAUUAGCUUUCUGCUACAUCUUAAAUACAUUGCACUUUCUAAAAAGCUUUUUUAACUUUGCCUUUAUUUUCUAUUUUAAUACUAAAAUGCCUUUAACUUUCUAUUUUACUCAUUUCUCUGCAUAUGUUUUCUUUUACUUAUCUAUUUUAUUGUAUGACAAUGUUUAUAGGUGAAGCACUUUGAGUCUUCCCUUGUGUAUGAAAAGUGCUAAAUAAAGUUGCCUUGCCUAACACACACAGAACAUUUCAUUUCUUUCUGUUAAAUGUAAAUAUGUAUAUAUGUAAAUUUAAAAAAAAGAACUGGAAACAAACAUUAAAUAAACAUUUGAAAAGGACGGACGGACACAAACACACACACACCAUUUUAAUUUCUUUCUGCUAAAUGUAAACAAAGAACAUUAAUAAACGUUUAAAAAUAGU
ensembl:lncRNA